CCUACGGGAGGCAGCAGUAGGGGAUCUUGCACAAUGGGGGGAACUCUGAUGCAGCGACGCCGCGUGGGUGAAGAAGCGCCUCGGCGCGUAAAGCCCUGUCAGCAGGGAAGAACAUGACGGUACCUGAAGAAGAAGCCCCGGCUAACUACGUGCCAGAAGCCGCGGUAAUACGUAGGGGGCAAGCGUUAUGCGGAUUUACUGGGUGUAACGGGGGCGCAGGCGGCGCUGCAAGCCUGGUGUGAAAGCCCGGGGCUCAACCCCGGGACGGCUCGUGGAGCUGCGUGGCUUGAGUGCAGAAGGGGCGGGCGGAAUUCCUGGUGUAGCGGUGAAAUGCGUAGAUAUCAGGAGGAACACCGGUGGCGAAGGCGACCUGCUGGACUGCAACUGACGUUGAGGCCCGAAAGCGUGGGGAGCAAACAGGAUUAAAUACCCUUGUAGUC
rnacentral:rRNA from 1 species